rnacentral:rRNA from 1 species
UCUUUGGAGAGUUUGAUCCUGGCUCAGGACGAACGCUGGCGGCGUGCCUAAUACAUGCAAGUCGAGCGGACCGAACGAGGGCUUGCUCUUGUUUGGUCAGCGGCGGACGGGUGAGUAACACGUGGGCAACCUGCCCGCAAGACCGGGAUAACUCCGGGAAACCGGAGCUAAUACCGGAUAACACCGAAGACCGCAUGGUCUUCGGUUGAAAGGCGGCCUUUGGGCUGUCACUUGCGGAUGGGCCCGCGGCGCAUUAGCUAGUUGGUGAGGUAACGGCUCACCAAGGCGACGAUGCGUAGCC